CAAGGGACUGAGAAUGUGCAGUUAUGCUUCUUGAACUCUUUGUGCCGUGCUUCAGAAAUCAGUGCCAUGCUGCUGGUAACCCCCUGAAACACACACACCCUUCCUGAGCUCCACUACCCACCAAGCUGAAGGAAAACUUUUUAUCCUAACUACAGAGACAGCAACAGCCAUGAAAGUACCUAAUUCACUUCAGUCUAUCUCAGCUCUCUGUUUCCUCUCUACUGCCCAUCUUUAGCUGUCACUGUGGUCGAUGGCUGCUGAAAAGCCUUGUCCUGUUCCUGCAUCUUGUUCUGAACAUACAGGCCAGCAGCGCUGGGAAGGAGGAAAUGCUGCUGCUCAUGUGAGCUGUCCUGAGUGUUGGCAGAGCUGUGAGUUUCAGAACAGAGUGAUGUAUUUCAGCUGUUGUGAAAUUCCUGAAUAAUCAGCUCAUCAAAAAAUACCAUGCAGAGUUCCCUUGUAGUCCUGUCCAACUUGCCACCUCUCCUGCCAAUAGCUCUGUAGGGUGACCACAGCCUGGCACAGCCCAUUAACAGAGCUCUGCACACUCAUGAAUAGAGCUGGCUGGAAAAUGCAAUUUUUCUUCUAGGGGGAAAAAGAAAAAUUAUUGGUACAAGAGUCUUUCUAGCUUUGCAUUUCAGCGUUUCAGGAUGAAGAUUUCACCCACUGUUCCCUCCAGCACCCUCUGCUGUUCUCUGUGUUCAUUCCUACCCACCCCACUUUUUUGGAAGGCAGCUCCAGGAAAAGAAGAAUCUCAUUUCAAAUGGCCAUGCGGUUGCUGUUUGCCUUACUGAUGAGCUCCUCUUGGCUCCAAGAUUGGGAGUCUUGCUGCAAGACAGGCACUGACCAGCUGGCACCUCCUCAAGGUGGUGCUCCUGGGUGAUGUGUUGUAGGACCUGCAGUUUUUACUGCUACUACUCAGUCUCCUGUCUUGAAAAGAUAUUGAGCAGCUUCAGGACCACCAAAAAUGAGGUAACGGCCCUAAGUCGCACCAAGAGAGGUUCAUCUUGAAUAUUAAAAGUAAAAUUUCUUCUCAGAACAAGGUGGUGAUGCAUUGGAACAGGUGGCCCAGUGAGGUGGUGGAGUCACUGUCCCUGGAGGUGUUCAGGAAACAUGGAAGUGUUGUUAACAAUUCACAGAUUUGUCCUGUCAUGAUGAGAAACUGGAGCCAGCGCCAUUAAAUCAUCCCAGCCUUUCAAGAUGGUGACAAAGUGUGAGAGUGGGAUGAAGAAAGCUGGAGGGGCAGAAGGAGGAAGCGAAGCCUUGAUCCCUGUGCUUUGGCCAGAUCAUUGCUCCCACUUGAUUUCCCUUGUAACAUGAACAACAACUGUAUGAAAUGAAAAUAAUUGGAUGCUAAGCAGCCUAUUGUUGUGCUGACAUGAGAGGGAUUUACAUGGGUGACUCCCAUUAGCAGUAAUGUGUGGUCCCCACCAUGCUUUCCCUGGGCUUUCAAUGCAGAAAAAAUUGUCCUACCCUUUCUCUUACAGGAAAGGUUAAGAGUUGUGGUUUUGUUCAGUGCGCUCAAUAUAUUCAAUUAAAACACACUGGCAUGUUCAUCAGCUAUUAACUGUCUUUGCAAUAGCUGUAAUUAAACAGAUGCUUAGGUGGGAAAGGAAAUCCUUCAAGAGGUGAGCAGGAAGUUCCCUAGUCACCAUAGUGGGUUUCUUCACAUAUACUGACAGAGCCAAUGGGAUGUUUCCUUUCCUUGCUGAUGGAGUGAAGGUGUGUAUGCCCCUAACAGCCACAAGACCUGCCAGUGAUGGGUGGGCAUGGUAAGGAAAAAAGGGGAGGAGGGAGGGAGGGGAGUGGAGGGAAGGCAGGCAGGACAGAAGAAAGGAAAAGGCAGGGAGGGAGGA
ensembl:lncRNA